rnacentral:rRNA from 1 species
GACGAACGCUGGCGGCGUGCUUAACACAUGCAAGUCGAGCGGAAAGGCCACUUCGGUGGUACUCGAGCGGCGAACGGGUGAGUAACACGUGAGUAAUCUGCCCCUGGCUUUGGGAUAGCCACCGGAAACGGUGAUUAAUACCGGAUACGACCACUUCUCGCAUGGGAUGGUGGUGGAAAGUUUUUUCGGCCAGGGAUGUGCUCACGGCCGAUCAGCUUGAUGGUGAGGUAAUGGCUCACCAUGGCUUCGACGGGUAGCCGGCCUGGGAGGGUGAGCGGUCACACUGGGACUGAGACACGGCCCAGACUCCUACGGGAGGCAGCGGUGGGGAAUAUUGGACAAUGGGCGGAAGCCUGAUCCAGCAACGCCGCGUGAGGGAUGACGGCCUUCGGGUUGUAAACCUCUUUCAGCAGGGACGAAGCGCAAGUGACGGUACCUGCAGAAGAAGCACCGGCCAACUACGUGCCAGCCGCCGCGGUAA